UUGCCGUUUCAGGCUCCCGCCACUCGCCGCGCCGGAGAGGCAAAGAGACCUUGGCGAAGGCGGAGGAAGCCUCGGGCGUUUCUAUGGUAACUGCCAAACGCCGGCCUAGCGUAAGUGAUGGACGGCGAAGCCUGCAGCGAGGCAAAAAGGGGGCCCGUGGGGUCGUUUUGUAUCAGUGUUUUGUAUCCUCUCUCUCGGCUCGGAAAGGGUCGAGGCGGUCUCUCUCCGCGCGUCCUUGCGACGGCGAGGACAGAGGGAAGAAAGGGAGGGUGGCGUUUCCUCCCCCAGGUUCUUCGGCGUAGUCGCUGCGGGCGUCCAAGUCGCCUCAAAAAAAAAGAAAAGAAAAAAAAAGAUCUAAGUCCCCCUGCUUCUAAGGAGAUUACACUCUUGUCCCAUCCCCCUCCCGCCUUUUUCAAUGCCAUUUGGUGGACUUGAGAGCUGGAGUUUUGUCUCUUGAGAUCUUUUAACAGGUUUUACUGCCCAAAACCCGAAGGUGCUUUUGAAGCCUUCCGGGAUGCAGCGAUUUCUGCAGGUUUGCUCUUCCCCGGUCGAAUUCAAGGAGCUUUUUAAAGCUUCAGUGCUCAAGUCGGGCCAGGUUUAAGAUCUACACAGAAAGAAACGGGGCUCGCUCCAACCUAAUUGUGUAUGUAUGGGAAAGGGCUGUGUGACUUUAAAUAUGUUUUUUUUUUUAACUGAACUUUAAAAAUAAAGUCUUGCUCUUAACAAUG